CAAAGAUAAAAACGCAAUGCGCGCCGAGCAAGGUGUGCUAGAGCCGGUAGGUAGCCCGGCCGUCUCGCAGAUGCGAGGUAAGUAACCCUCCCUCCUUGGGUUGUCCGUUCUUUU
rnacentral:ncRNA from 1 species